UGCCACACUGGUUGAAUCAGAUGGCUCAGUCGGUAGAGCAAUGAGACCCUUAAUCUCAGGGUUGUAAGUUCAAGGUCCACAUUGGGCAA